ACCAGCAGCCAUAUCACUUUCCAUCUCACAAUUGACAACCCACUGAAACUAAGCAGGGGUGAGCUUGGCAACUAUCUGGAUGGGAGACCACCUGGGAGAAACUAAGGUUGCAGCUGUUA
rnacentral:rRNA from 1 species